rnacentral:rRNA from 1 species
UAAGGAAUAUUGGUCAAUGGGCGGAAGCCUGAACCAGCCACGCCGCGUGAAGGAAGAAGGUGCUUAGCAUUGUAAACUUCUUUUGUCAGGGAAGAAAAGGGUCCUGCGGGACAGAUUGCCGGUACCUGAUGAAUAAGCAUCGGCUAACUACGUGCCAGCAGCCGCGGUAAUACGUAGGAUGCGAGCGUUAUCCGGAUUUAUUGGGUUUAAAGGGUGCGUAGGCGGUUUUAUAAGUCGUGGGUGAAAGUCAAAUGCUUAACAUUUGGAUUGCCUGCGAUACUGUAAGACUUGGAUUCGGUGGAGGUAAUUGGAAUGGUUGAUGUAGCGGUGAAAUGCAUAGAUAUCAGCUGGAACGCCAAUUGCGAAGGCAGAUUACUGUACCGAGAUUGACGCUGAGGCA